rnacentral:lncRNA from 1 species
AGAGAAAAACAUACAAAGGAAAGAAAGAGGAGUUAUGGAGAAAAAUAAAGAGAAGAUGACAGAAGAGGGAUGUGGAAGAAAUUACUAGUGAGUCAGGCUAGGUAGAAAAGAGAAAAUAGUGAGAGUUAUUUUGUACUCCUAUUAUUUCAGAUAAUGAAAUAAAAUAUUAUUGCUGCCCCAAGAACUUAGGCAAACUUGCUGAAUCUCGUAAAUAUUAUGUCUUAUUUACUUUAUUCCACUAUACACUGUCAAUUUUACAACAUUUAUAUCCUUUUUUUAAAUUUUAUUGAACAUUAUACUAUCUCAAAUGUGCCCCCCUGAACAAAAAGUACAUUAGUUAGUGCCCAAAAAGAAAAAAAUGAUGUAUUUGUGCCAACUAAAAUUUGAGCACGGUAGUUCGCGCCGAUAUUUAAGGCACAAAUAUGCUGUCAAUAGUGCCCUAAUCUUUGCGAACAAAAUGCCAUAGUGUAUCUUAUGACCAAAAAGCACGUUUAUAAAGAGCACAUAAAACAUUUUAAUUGCUACAUUAUUGCUAUUGACAUAAGGGCACAUAUGUUAGUGUCCUUAAGCCUCAUGGCACAAAUAACUUUUUGUGCUGACAUGUAUUUUUGUAGUGUUUGAAUAUUUAGUACUGUUGGGAAUGACACAUCAUAUUCGUAUAUUUGUGAUCUUCAGAUAUUAUCACGAUGAAUGUGUACGAGACUCACGUGGAGCAUAAUUCUAUGUGGCCACUUAGCCCCACUUUCCACACAGCCGGAAAAUCGGCAAGACUUUCAACAAAAAUGAGGGGACAGUACAACUUCUGUAACUUUCAUUGUGUGUUUUUGUUUUUUUAAUUGAAUGGUUAUGGACUACUUAUCGUACGAAGAACAACAAACCUAAGCCUACUUUCUCAC